UCUUUCUCUUUCUUAAGCUUAAGCUCUGCACCACAACCUCCGUCAACUUGAACUCCAAGUACGUGGUUUAUGUGAGAUCCAAAAGUUUUUUUCUUUUUUUUUUUUUCGUUAUAAUUUUCGAUCAUAGUCAGCUUCUUCAAUUCCCCAAUUGCAGAGAUUCUUAUUCUGCUUUGAAAUCCGAAGCACUUCCCAUUUUUUUAUGUCUCUAUUUAUUCGUUUCCUUUAGCAGCUUUUGUAAUUAUCGCCGCAAUAGAUCCUACAAGAUUUGUUUUUUAAGUUGAUUUUUACUUCAACGGAACUUGAUCUAUAACUUUGGCGUUUUCAGCUGCAUUUUGAGACUUCCGCCAUUUUUUUUAGUUUUCUCUCAUCUAUUUUUCAAUUCCAACACAAUGUUAUUCUAGUACAUGUUCUUGUUUUUCCAAUCUCAGUUGCUGUGUUCGCCGCUGAACUUUGUUGGGUCUGUUUUGUUGGUGAGAUUGAAUUAAAAUUUUUCUCUUCUACUCUUGCUCUUUCUCGUGGUGGAAUUGGUUUGUAUUUUGAACACCCCCGUGAUCUGGGGUGUUCUAGUGCGUUUAUCCGUUUUCUUGAGUUUGGGUGGAUUCAAUUGGUUUGUAUGCUAAGUUGCAACCAUGUUUCCUGAUCAAAGAAAAAAGUCAUCUGUGGAUGUGGACUUCUUUACUGAAUAUGGUGAAGGAAGCAGGUAUAAAAUAGAGGAAGUAAUUGGUAAAGGAAGCUAUGGUGUUGUUUGCUCUGCAUAUGAUACACAUACUGGAGAAAAGGUUGCAAUAAAGAAAAUCAAUGACAUAUUUGAACAUGUUUCUGAUGCCACUCGCAUUCUUCGUGAGAUAAAGCUUCUUAGACUUUUACGUCAUCCAGAUAUUGUGGAGAUCAAGCAUAUUUUGUUACCUCCUUCUAGAAGGGAAUUCAAAGAUAUAUAUGUUGUUUUUGAGCUCAUGGAAUCUGAUUUACAUCAGGUCAUCAAAGCAAAUGAUGAUUUGACGCCAGAGCAUUACCAAUUUUUCCUCUACCAGCUUCUUCGAGGCUUGAAGUAUAUACACACAGCAAAUGUUUUUCACCGUGAUCUAAAACCAAAAAACAUUUUAGCAAAUGCUGACUGCAAACUGAAGAUUUGCGACUUUGGUCUUGCCAGAGUGGCUUUUAAUGAUACACCCACUGCUAUAUUCUGGACUGAUUAUGUUGCAACACGGUGGUAUAGGGCUCCUGAGUUGUGUGGAUCCUUUUUUUCCAAGUAUACACCAGCUAUAGACAUAUGGAGUAUUGGCUGCAUUUUUGCUGAACUUUUGACUGGAAAACCCCUUUUCCCUGGGAAGAAUGUUGUCCAUCAACUGGACCUCAUGACUGAUCUUCUGGGAACACCAUCUCCUGAAUCUGUUGCUAGGGUACGAAAUGAAAAAGCUCGGAGAUACUUAAGCAGUAUGCGUAAGAAGAAGCCAGUUCCUUUCUCACAGAAAUUUCCUAAUGCAGAUCCCCUUGCUCUACGUUUGUUAGAAAGAAUGUUGGCAUUUGAGCCUAAGGAUCGGCCUACUGCUGAAGAGGCUCUAGCGGAUCCAUAUUUUAAAGGCUUGGCCAAGGUUGAGAGGGAACCUUCCGCUCAGCCAGUUACCAAGAUGGAGUUUGAAUUUGAGAGACGCAGAAUAACGAAGGAAGACGUAAGAGAGCUUAUAUACCGAGAGAUUCUGGAGUACCAUCCAAAAAUGUUAAAGGAAUUUCUAGAGGGAGCUGAGCCAACAGGUUUCAUGUAUCCAAGUGCUGUGGACCACUUCAAGAAGCAAUUUGCAUAUCUAGAGGAGCAUUAUGGCAAAGGGGGUACUGUUGCUCCACCUGAGAGGCAACAUGCAUCAUUACCUAGAUAACUCAGUACAGAGCACAGCUGAGGUUGCAGAUGAUUUAUCCAAAUGUUGUCUCAAAGAAGUUGAGAAACCACCCAUAGAUAGGAGUAGUGCCAUCCCUAUGACACGGCUUCCCUUACAAGCUCCUCAAAAUAUUCAAGGCGUUGCUGCAAGGCCCGGAAAAGUUGUUGGUUCAGUAAUGCGUUACAACAAUUGCGGGGUGGCAGUGACGGCAGAGUCUGAACAGCGGAGAGUGGUUAGGAACCCAUCAGCUUCAGCUCAGUAUGCUGCUUCAAGCUGUUCAUAUCCUCGGAGAAAUCAGAACUAUAAAAAUGAAAGGGCAGAGGAUGAUGGGAUUGAAGGUUCUAAUGGGCUGCAGCCAAAGCCUCAAUACAUGGCAAGAAAAGUUGCUGCUGCUCAAGGUGGAGCUGGUGGUCAAUGGUAUUGAUAUUGAAUUAUAUCGAAUAUAUGUGGGGCCAACAACUGCCUUGUGUUGUGCCCUGAAGCCCUGAUGCCUGAGUUUCUUGAUCACACAUUUGAAGUAUUAAACAAUGGGAGAGCUUAAGAGACUCAUCAAGUCUAUUCCUGAAGUCCCUAUGCUAUGGACGAUUUUUUAAUUGUCCCAAUUUGCAUCAUCAAUUUGAAGUUUGAAGGGUUCGCGUGGUCCAAUUGAUGAUGAUUUUCUUGCACUCUAAUUUGUUAAUAACAGAACAUGAAAGAUCUGAAAAGCCAUGAACUUGAAGGCAGAGAGGUUGCUUCAUUACAGAAUUUGAAGUGGUUAUUUUGCCUUAGUAUUAGUACUAGAUUACUGUAUCACUUGGGUAUCAUUACCAAUAUAAUGUAUCUUCUCUUUUUCAAAAUAGAAACUUAUAGCCAAAAUGAUAGUCUCUUUCUCUAAGGCGUAUCUUCGCUGUUGGUAACUUAAUUUGGUGUUAAACAAAAGAAAUGAAGUAGUAGUAGUCCUUU